AAAAUGUUUUUGUCAACACAAUGAAAGUAGAUUCUAUAAUAUAAGUGAUUGCAUAGACAAACCUGAUUCGACAUUUUUCUUCGUUUAUAAAGUAUACACUGGGUAUGUUUCUGGCAAUGUCGAUGGGAAAUGCACGACUUUAUACUGUUAUCCGGGAGGCAACGGAUUGCAAUCAGCUAACUGUAAUGAUACAUCGGAUACAUCAAGGGCCAGUAGAUGUAAUGAUGGGUACACAGUUGGAUGGGGUAAACCGUAUUUAACAAGCAAUCAAUUGUGUCUGGAAAAAUCUCAGCUUUUACUUCAACCUGAGACUUAUUGCCAAACGAACAGUCAUACAUUAGAAGGAAUCACUUCUUGGACAAACGUUUUUCGAGCGGAAACCGCAGCUAAA